GCACGAGCGAGCAAAGGCAGAGGCAAAUAAAUAUUCACCAAAUUCCCGGAAACGACGAGGGAAAUUAUUACUUUGAUAUGGCUGCUUUUUAUUUGCUGUAACUUCAUCUCGCCAACCACAACAACAGUGCUCGUGUAUGUACAUGUUUUUCGUCCCAAUUAUUGGGUGGGCUGUGCAAGUAAAUAAAUUAAUAGAGAAAAAACGUGGAAGUGAUGCAUCUUCAUAAUAGCUCGAAAACUUUGAAAACGAAACCACUGACCUUCGUUAUGCUUAUAUAUUAUGCAAGUUUUGACCAUAUUGGGGAAAAGUUAAUUAAGUUGCAACUGCCAAUAUUUAAUCAUUUUCCUAUUGACUUUAUUCCUUGAUUAUUAAUUCAAACUUACGUAAUAUGUAUGCGAGUAGGAAAGAGUGAGUGCAUUUAUCGGGUUUUAUUUAUGUUUGCUUGACGUCACGAAUUCAUAUUCAAUUUCUAUAUGUAGCAUAUUUUAGCCCAUUUUGGGUAGAACAGAACAGUCAAGUGAGGUUAAUGAAAGACUGAGAGUGGAGAGAGAUCGAUCUUUGAAUAAACUUUACUCGGAAUCAUUGAACCAAGUUUGAGAGAGUGCUUAAGGUAUUAAUAUUCACGACCUUUUUACUUGCAUGCAUCUAUUGACGCCCGUAUUUAGACAUACAUCGGAUUAAUGGACCGAUCGCCUACUUCUGCUUCUGUACAUACGUAUCUACGUACAUUCAAACUAGUGACACACAAGAAGUUUCGUCGAUAAGAUGAGAUUUGCAUUCACAGGCAGGCAGGAGGACCAGAAGGAAGGACAGACAGACAGCUUCUUCUUCUUCUUCUUCUCCAAUCGUAAAUACGUAAUGCCAUCUCCAAAAGUGGAAAAGAGCUUAUACAAACUUAAACCUUGGAACUUUUUUACAGCACGAAAAUACUCUCCGACAACUCGGCACUCAAGUUUUUUCGGUUAUAAUUCAUAUUUCAUAUAGAAAUUGCAUAAAGACGAGUUUUGCUUUGACUUUAGGGCCCAAGGACUCGCAAUUUCUGGCCAGAGAGAUUUAUCCUAGGUUUCUCAUCCAUAAAUUAAAGUUUGGGAUGAAAAUUCCUCCCAAAAUUAAAUCUUAAUCCAAUUUGAAAACAAUUUCCUGGAGAGGAGAAAGUUGAGAAAGUUUGAGGACACCACUUUGGCUCAAGAUGAGAAAAUCGGCAUGCCUGCUGACGGAUAUCCUUCCUUCGUCAUCGCCUUAUGAGAUGAAAGACCUUGCAACGAUUAGAUCAAAUUUGAUCACGAAGUAAGAAAAUGACACCAAGAACGAAUGGAACGGAUGCAUGGGGAGAUAAUGCAGACGUCUGGUAUGCGUAUAGUUCUUAUUACUGAUGGUGGCGUGGUAAGGUUGGUGUUUGUGCGAAAUUCUUGAUGCAAGUUAUAUUUAUAUGGUGUGAGAUAGAUAAUAAAAUGUAAUGGCAAACUUUACUGUGGUGAGAUUUGGAUCAGAUUAUUUGGAUGUCAACAGCGAAACGAAACGAAGCCAAGCGAAAUCACUUUCUCCCACAAACUCCACGAGUGUCUGGCUUGUGAAUAGGCCACUAAUUCGAUUAAUUAGCGUGUUAUUUGCAGAGAAUUCACCAAUUAGUUCUGAAUGGGAUGAAAGACGACAUGCUUUCCUCCUUCCGGCCUUUCUACAUAACUUCUUUGCUGAUAUAAACCUUGACAUCGUGAAA